rnacentral:rRNA from 1 species
CCUACGGGAGGCAGCAGUGAGGAAUAUUGGUCAAUGGACGGAAGUCUGAACCAGCCAUGCCGCGUGCAGGAAGACGGCUCUAUGAGUUGUAAACUGCUUUUGUACAAGGGUAAACCUGAAUACGUGUAUUCAGCUGACAGUACUGUACGAAUAAGGAUCGGCUAACUCCGUGCCAGCAGCCGCGGUAAUACGUAGGAUCCAAGCGUUACCCGGAUUUAUUGGGUUUAACGGGUGCGUAGGCGGAGUGAUAAGUUAGAGGUGAAAUGUCCGAGCUUAACUCGGGAAGUGCCUCUGAUACUGUUGAACUAGAGAGUAGAUGCGGUAGGCGGAAUGUAAGGUGUAGCGGUGAAAUGCUUAGAGAUCAGACAGAACACCGAUUGCGAAGGCAGCUUACCAAUCUAUAUCUGACGUUGAGGCACGAAAGCGUGGGGAGCAAACAGGAUUAGAUACCCCAGUAGUC